CCUACGGGAGGCAGCAGUGAGGAAUAUUGGACAAUGGGCGCAAGCCUGAUCCAGCUAUGCCGCGUGAAUGAAGAAGGCCUUAGGGUUGUAAAAUUCUUUCAGUGGAGAAGAACAUGACGGUAUCCACAGAAGAAGUCCCGGCUAACUCCGUGCCAGCAGCCGCGGUAAU
rnacentral:rRNA from 1 species